GGGGAGGGUCAUUGGAAACUGGGGAACUUGAGUGCAGAAGAGGAGAGUGGAAUUCCACGUGUAGCGGUGAAAUGCGAUAGAGAUGUGGAGGAACACCAGUGGCGAAGGCGACUCUCUGGUCUGUAACUGACGCUGAGGAGCGAAAGCGUGGGGAGCGAACAGGAUUAGAUACCCUGGUAGUCCACGCCGUAAACGAUGAGUGCUAAGUGUUAGGGGGUUUCCGCCCCUUAGUGCUGCAGCUAACGCAUUAAGCACUCCGCCUGGGGAGUACGGUCGCAAGACUGAAACUCAAAGGAAUUGACGGGGGCCCGCACAAGCGGUGGAGCAUGUGGUUUAAUUCGAAGCAACGCGAAGAACCUUACCAGGUCUUGACAUCCUCUGACAAUCCUAGAGAUAGGACGUCCCCUUCGGGGGCAGAGUGACAGGUGGUGCAUGGUUGUCGUCAGCUCGUGUCGUGAGAUGUUGGGUUAAGUCCCGCAACGAGCGCAACCCUUGAUCUUAGUUGCCAGCAUUCAGUUGGGCACUCUAAGGUGACUGCCGGUGACAAACCGGAGGAAGGUGGGGAUGACGUCAAAUCAUCAUGCCCCUUAUGACCUGGGCUACACACGUGCUACAAUGG
rnacentral:rRNA from 1 species